rnacentral:rRNA from 1 species
AAACACUCCGGUGGUAUGAGAUGGACCCGCGUCUGAUUAGCUAGUUGGUGAGGUAACGGCCCACCAAGGCGACGAUCAGUAGCCGGCCUGAGAGGGUGAACGGCCACAUUGGGACUGAGACACGGCCCAAACUCCUACGGGAGGCAGCAGUGGGGAAUAUUGCACAAUGGGGGAAACCCUGAUGCAGCGACGCCGCGUGAGUGAUGAAGUAUUUCGGUAUGUAAAGCUCUAUCAGCAGGGAAGAUAAUGACGGUACCUGACUAAGAAGCACCGGCUAAAUACGUGCCAGCAGCCGCGGUAAUACGUAUGGUGCAAGCGUUAUCCGGAUUUACUGGGUGUAAAGGGUGCGUAGGUGGCAAGGCAAGUCUGAAGUGAAAAUCCGGGGCUCAACCCCGGAACUGCUUUGGAAACUGUUUAGCUGGAGUACAGGAGAGGUAAGUGGAAUUCCUAGUGUAGCGGUGAAAUGCGUAGAUAUUAGGAGGAACACCAGUGGCGAAGGCGACUUACUGGACUGCUACUGACACUGAGGCACGAAAGCGUGGGGAGCAAACAGGAUUAGAUACCCUGGUAGUCCACGCCGUA